rnacentral:rRNA from 1 species
ACGGAAGUCGUUGUAAUGAUAUAGACAUGGACGGAGAACUUGUUCAAAGAAAGUGAAAGUUGACUUACAACAAUGGCUUUAGUGGCGGACUGGUGAGUAACACGUAAGCAACCUGCCUAUCAGAGGGGAACAACAGUUAGAAAUGACUGCUAAUACCGCAUAUGCCUUAGCAACACAUGUUGCAAAAAGGGAAAGGAGCAAUCCGCUGAUAGAUGGGCUUGCGUCUGAUUAGAUAGUUGGUGGGGUAACGGCCUACCAAGUCGACGAUCAGUAGCCGGACUGAGAGGUUGAACGGCCACAUUGGGACUGAGAUACGGCCCAGACUCCUACGGGAGGCAGCAGUCGGGAAUAUUGCGCAAUGGAGGAAACUCUGACGCAGUGACGCCGCGUGCAGGAAGAAGGUUUUCGGAUUGUAAACUGCUUUAGACAGGGAAGAACAAAGACAGUACCUGUAGAAUAAGCUCCGGCUAACUACGUGCCAGCAGCCGCGGUAAUACGUAGGGAGCAAGCGUUAUCCGGAUUUAUUGGGUGUAAAGGGUGCGUAGACGGUAAUGCAAGUUAGUUGUGAAAUCCC